UACGUAGGGUGCGAGCGUUGUCCGGAAUCAUUGGGCGUAAAGAGCGUGUAGGCGGCUCGGUAAGUCCGCUGUGAAAGUCCAGGGCUCAACCCUGGAAUGCCGGUGGAAACUGUCGAGCUAGAGUCCGGAAGAGGCGAGUGGAAUUCCUGGUGUAGCGGUGAAAUGCGCAGAUAUCAGGAGGAACACCAAUGGCGAAGGCAGCUCGCUGGGACGGUACUGACGCUGAGACGCGAAAGCGUGGGGAGCAAACAGG
rnacentral:rRNA from 1 species